CGAACGAGAAAGUUUCCUUCGGGGAAUGAGUAAAGUGGCGCAAGGGUGAGUAACACGUGAGUAAUCUGCCUUCGAAUCUGGGAUAACUUGACGAAAGUUAAGCUAAUACCGGAUAAGACCACACUUCACAAGAAGUGCGGCCAAAGGGUCUCAAACCCCGUUUGAAGAUGAGUUCGCGUACCAUUAGCUUGUUGGUGAGAUAACAGCUUACCAAGGCGACGAUGGUUAGCCGGCCUGAGAGGGUGAUCGGCCACACUGGAACUGAGACACGGUCCAGACUCCUACGGGAGGCAGCAGUGGGGAAUUUUGCGCAAUGGGCGAAAGCCUGACGCAGCAACGCCGCGUGAGCGAUGAAGGCCUUCGGGUCGUAAAGCUCUGUCAAGUGGGAAGAACACAAUGACGGUACCACUAGAGGAAGCCCCGGCUAACUUCGUGCCAGCAGCCGCGGUAAUACGAAGGGGGCAAGCGUUGUUCGGAAUUAUUGGGCGUAAAGCGUGUGUAGGUGGUUGUUCAAGUCAAACGUGUAAGCCCUCGGCUCAACCGAGGAAUUGCGUUUGAAACUGAUCGACUUGAGUACAGGAGAGGAAAGCGGAAUUCCCAGU
rnacentral:rRNA from 1 species